UACGGGGGGUGCGAGCGUUGUCCGGAAUCACUGGGCGUAAAGGGCGCGUAGGUGGUCUGAUAAGGGUGUGGUGAAAGCCCGGGGCUCAACCCCGGGUCGGCCGUGCCGACUGUUAGACUAGAGUACUGUAGGGGCAGGCGGAAUUCCGGGUGUAGCGGUGGAAUCCGUAGAGAUCCGGAGGAAGACCGGUGGCGAAGGCGGCCUGCUGGGCAGUUACUGACACUGAGGCGCGAGAGCGUGGGGAGCAAACAGG
rnacentral:rRNA from 1 species